UAAUCUUCACGUUUUACAAAUACAGUUAUCACCAUAGUAUAUCAUAUUAUAAACGGUUUGUGAUAUGUUUUCGUAAACUCAAUCGUUAUCUUGCUGUUUUUCACCAUGUUUCGUUAUUCCCAAAAAUUUAGGAGAACGACUUUGUGACCAUUUAAAGAAAGCAGUGGAAACGGAGAAAGAAACUGAAGAGCAACUCAAUUUGCUUCUUGAGAAGUUGAAUGAGACAGGUAUUAAGGUGGACGUAUCCGGCGUCUCAGAGUGGAGCAUUAUGGAGAAAUCUACGGCUAACAAAGCGGCCAGUACAGGAAGACCCAGUUCAUCACCAGAUGAUUACCCGGACAAGUUGAGGCAGUUUUUCUGUGUAAGAACAAACCUGCAAAAAUGUUCCCCGGCAUCUGAAAUUUGGAAAGUACUGACCGAUCAGCUUGACAGGUAUGAAACCAUAUUUUGGAUCCUGCAAUUUAUUCCUCUAAUCUGGGAACUAAAUGAUCUUUACGUAAGGAUAUUAAAACGAUUUUCAAAUGAGGUCCGCCAAAACAAAGCAAAGAACUCAUUACCAGCCACAAAAUCUAGAAAUAACUUAUCAUACAAGUAAACAGACAAUCAGGCAGUCGGGCAAUCAGAAUUAUGGAAAAUUCCAUGUCAUUACACGUGGAAGUCGUUAUUGGUAUUUUACUGGGUUCUCAGGGCAAGUUUUGAUUGCCAAUCGCACUUCAAAGCAAUGCAAAUCCAAACUAAUAAUUUCAACCGAAUUUUGGGUUUCUCCACUGUUUUCCUUUACGCUGGUAAUAGGUCAGCUAAAGAACCUUGAGGGCGGCCAACCUCGAUGGUCUCCUGACAGUAGCAUGGAUAUUGCAUACCUCCGCGAUUUGCAAAACAAGCGUCGAGGAGACUUGCUAUUAUCCAUGCAUGUCAAGUGCUCAGAAAGGUGGUUUCUCUUACAACUGAUGAA